rnacentral:rRNA from 1 species
GCAUUUGUGACUGUAUAGCCGAAGUGCGGGCAGAGAGGGAUGGAAUUCCGCGUGUAGCAGUGAAAUGUGUAGAUAUCCGGAGGAACCCCGAUGGCGAAGGCAAUCCCCUGGGCCUGCCACCGACGCUCAUGCACGAAAGCGUGGGGAGCAAACAGGAUUAGAUACCCUGGUAGUCCACGCCCUAAACGAUGUCAACUGGUUGUUGGGUCUUCACUGACUCAGUAACGAAGCUAACGCGUGAAGUUGACCGCCUGGGGAGUACGGCCGCAAGGUUGAAACUCAGAGGAAUUGACGGGGACCCGCACAAGCGGUGGAUGAUGUGGUUUAAUUGGAUGCAACGCGAAAACCCUUACCCACCUUUGACAUGUACGGAAUUCGCCAGAGAUGGCUUAGUGCUCGAAAGAGAACCGUAACACAGGUGCUGCAUGGCUGUCGUCAGCUCGUGUCGUGAGAUGUUGGGUUAAGUCCCGCAACGAGCGCAACCCUUGUCAUUAGUUGCUACAUUUAGUUGGGCACUCUAAUGAGACUGCCGGUGACAGACCGGAGGAAGGUGGGGAUGACGUCAAGUCCUCAUGGCCCUUAUAGGUGGGGCUACACACGUCAUACAAUGGCUGGUACAAAGGGUUGCCAACCCGCGAGGGGGAGCUAAUCCCAUAAAACCAGUCGUAGUCCGGAUCGCAGUCUGCAACUCGACUGCGUGAAGUCGGAAUCGCUAGUAAUCGUGGAUCAGAAUGUCACGGUGAAUACGUUCCCGGGUCUUGUACACACCGCCCGUCACACCAUGGGAGCGGGUUCUGCCAGAAGUAGUUAGCCUACCCGUAAGGNGGGCGAUUACCACGGCAGGGUUCGUGCCUGGGGUGAAGUCGUAACAAGGUAACC